rnacentral:RNase_P_RNA from 3 species
GAAGCUGACCAGACAGUCGCCGCUUCGUCGUCGUCCUUUCGGGGAGACGGGCGGAGGGGAGGAAAGUCCGGGCUCCAUAGGGCAGGGUGCCAGGUAACGCCUGGGGGGGAAACCCACGACCAGUGCAACAGAGAGCAAACCGCCGAUGGCCCACGUAAGUGGGAUCAGGUAAGGGUGAAAGGGUGCGGUAAGAGCGCACCGCGCGGCUGGUAACAGUCCGUGGCAUGGUAAACUCCACCCGGAGCAAGGCCAAAUAGGGGUUCAUAAGGUACGGCCCGUACUGAACCCGGGUAGGCUGCUUGAGCCAGUGAGCGAUUGCUGGCCUAGAUGAAUGACUGUCCACGACAGAACCCGGCUUAUCGGUCAGUUUCACUU